GUCAUGGCUUCAGGAUGAACGCUAGCUACAGGCUUAACACAUGCAAGUCGAGGGGCAGCAUGGUCUUAGCUUGCUAAGGCCGAUGGCGACCGGCGCACGGGUGAGUAACACGUAUCUGACCUGCCGUCUACUCUUGGACAGCCUUCUGAAAGGAAGAUUAAUACAAGAUGGCAUCAUGAGUCCGCAUGUUCACAUGAUUAAAGGUAUUCCGGUAGACGAUGGGG
rnacentral:rRNA from 1 species